rnacentral:misc_RNA from 1 species
CGCUUUGCGGCUGGAUCCCCUCCUUUCUAAGGAACGCUCGCGGAACGAUUGCUGAUAUUUGCUGUUCGGUUUUACCGGAUGUUUGGAUAUUGGCCGGUGUUUCAAGCGAAUUGGUUGGGUCACCAACCGCCUAUCCCUUCUUUUUGAUCGUCCAGGGUUUGGAUGUUUGCCGUAUUGCCGCUGGCUUUAUUGCCGCUGGCUUUGUGGGUGAAUGGUCCGGGUUUCUGGCAGGGCGCGUAGCUCAGUUGGUUAGAGCGCACCCCUGAUAAGGGUGAGGUCGGAAGUUCAAAUCUUCCCGCGCCCACCAUUUUAUAGGGGGCGUAGCUCAGUUGGGAGAGCGCUAGCUUUGCAAGCUUGAGGUCGUCGGUUCGAUCCCGUCCGCCUCCACCAUUUGCUUUGGUGGGGUUAUCGAUCAGGAAGAAGUUUUAGGAAUUGCCGCAUUUGCGUUUAUCGCGUUUGCGGUGUUCGUUGGCGUCUCAGGCGCUUUCGAUAAAGUUGUAUGACAGUUUUGGUUGUAACGUGUAACGCGGUUCGGUUCUGACCGUUUGUCCGUUGUUUGACCGGCCCCCUGGCCGGUUUGACGGGCAAGCUUUCCGAGCUGCGUAGCAUAUGACGCUGAGUUAUCGAGAUUUGCUGUGAAGGCAGGUGAUCUUGAUUGUUUGGCCGUAAACUGGUGUUUCAUCUUGAUGAUGUUUCAUCUUACGGCUGGCCGAUCUUGGACAUCUGUUUUCUGGUGGAUUUUGAUGGUUCAAGUGCCAAAGGGCAUUUGGUGGAUGCCUUGGCGAAUGACGGCGAUGAAGGACGUGGCACGCUGCGAUAAGCUGCGGGGAGGGGCGAGCACCCUUUGAUCCGCAGAUUUCCGAAUGGGGAAACCCGGAAGC